UCUCCAUAAAAAUGGAUUGUAUUGUGACUAUAUCACUGUUUCUCUUUCAAUGAAGCCUCUCUCAUUGAAGAAUUGGAGCAUAUCCUUAAUAAUUAAUGUGUUCAGCCUGAAGAGGUGUCUUUAGCCACAGCCUGGCAGAAGCGGCAAUCCCCUAGCCAUGAAAAAUGGCACAUUGCAAGGGAGUCCUUUGGAGUCUUUCCAGUCUUUUGGAGGCAGAAUAUGUUCAGGAAUGCAUCUGCCAACACUGUCUAACUGCUGAGGCCAUUGUACGGUGCAGGGACUGUCUAACUAGGCAGUAUCUAUGCACCUUGUGUGAUGGAGAUGUCCAUCAGCACCUACCUCUUCAUAACAGGGAGUCUAUGGUCCAUGGGUUCUUUAAGCCAUUGUGUCCAACCAGUGCAGUGAAGAGACAUUCUGAAACAUUUGAGUUCUCUGAACAGGUCCGAUAUCUUCCACUACAUUUGCCAGUGAAAAUCUGUGCCUGUUCAGAAAGUUCAUGCAGAGUAACCAGUGGCAAACCUAUUAUUCUAAUUAAUUUGAAUGGACGGUACAAUUUCACUCUUCCAUCUCUGGAGUGCUCAUGCUGUGGUCAGUAAUCUCCUCAUGUCUGGGUACUGGCCAGACUCUAUACAUUUUGAGACUGUAUAUGAGGCUGAACUUUUUAGUUUUUUUCUGGACUUAAAACUAUUCGCUCCAAGUCUUUCACGUCAAGCAUUCCUUGAAAGAACCGAAGAACAGAGUACAAUGGCAGGGUAAAUAUUGUUAUCCAAUGUACUGUUUACAUGCUGUUUAUUCCUUAAAGUGAUUGCUUGGUUUGGUUGUUUCAACAGAAUGGUAAAAUAUGUGGAGACACAUUCCAGAAAGCCUUUCUGGAAUGGACUUUUGCCCAGCAUGAGGUUGUGGUGUCCAACCAUGUCCUUGUUGCAGUCCAUCCACGCAUGCAGUCUCAGUGGAUGGUAACAGGAAGCUAUACAGGUUCCAUAAUGCACAUGGGACAGAGAAGGGCUACUUCGAUGGCACAUUUAUAAUGAAAGAUGAUGAUGUUUCAUCCUUUGUGGAAUAUGUUCAUGAAAAGACCAAGCAUUCAACAGGUAAAGGGGUUUGUAGCUCCUCUAAAUGGACAGCAGCAAAGGAGUCAGCGAAAAAGUCAGCCUCAAAGAUUAAUGAGGAAGGCCUUAAGGUUGCUGUUUGCCGACAUGGAGGACUGUUAAAAGCCCUAAAUAUGUUUAGAGGGGAAAUAUUUGCUCAUUCCCUGUUCCUUCAAAACACCCUCUCGAAGGAAAAUGUGGCAUUUUUCUGUUCAGAUGUUGCCUGCAAGUACUGGCCAUACUUAAAGAGAGUGGUGGGACACUGUCCGGAGCUAAGCCCAUUAUUAAAUAUGCGCCCACUAUUAUCAGUUAUGCAUGCCAAAGCACAUGAGUGGAGUUGUGAGGUAAGAUUCUGUCAUUACAUAUUUUUGGGGUAUGGACAUUCACUUUUAUUUCAACAACCUUUUUUUUUUUUGGUAGAUAAAAUGGUCCGGAAGAAAUCAAGAGGGAGCUGGUCUUACAACUGGAGAAGAGGUGGAACAGGUCAACUCCUUCUUGACGAGAGCAGCAGUCUGCACUAAAUAUAUGUCCAAAGCUGGUGAAGAUCUUUCUUUACUACUUAUACUACUUUUAACAUAUUAUUUCUAAGUAUAAAUUAAUCAUGGCUAGCUAUAUUUUUACUUUGACCACUGUAAAAAUUUAGCUCUUCAUUUAAGCUUUUAUUUUGAAUUUUAGCUUUAGGAAAUCGAAUCGUAGAUAUUCGAUAUUAAUCUGAUUAAUUGAUAUUAAUCAAAACUUAUAAUUUAUACUUUAUUAACGACUCGUCCAGCGAGCAUUAAACCAGUAUAUCUUAGCAAUUCUGCUUAUUUUGUGGCCACGAUAAUAAUACAGAAUUGGUUGGGUAAAUUGAGCAACAGGUAACACAAUCUUUGGCAAAUAGUUUCAAACUUGAAAAUCACAGCACCAGACCAUUGUUUAUAAAUGAAUCAAGAGGUUAUUUGCUAUUCUAUGAUACAAUACUAACAAAACACAUACACACGUUCUGGUAAGAGGAUUGAAAUUUGAAGAAAGUUUAAGGUUCUAAUGCUCUUUUCCAAGAGUCCUGUAAAUUUGACCUGAGGAAGUCAUAAAUAGAGAACUUUACUAUCUUUACCUUUUAAAGACUAAUACAAUUACAGGGAAAAGUUAUACGUCACAGGUUAAGAAAAUACCAUAGGUUCCAAUACAUAGUGUAACGGGUCGUAGUACUUAUAAUUUAGAUCGUCACUGUAUGGACCAAUCAGGAAACCAGAAGCCUAGUAUGUUCGACUAUGGAGGUAGAGGGUAAUUGCUGAAGGACGACAGACAACCACAAUUGAGGUAAGUAUAUAGAAUAUUUAUGACUUUUUUUCCUUUAACUGCAGGCCUUUGCCUUCUUAAAAGUAAACACUUACAAUAAAAUAAUUAAAACAAAUAAUUCAAAGUAAAUUACAUCAUUACAAUGAAAAGAAAUAAAAGGGCAAAUCACUUUGAUCGGAUCACUGUCAGUUUCCAUUUACCAUGUACUCAACAGGAGAAUGACAACAGUUUCUUCAGAUUCAACAACAAUUUUGUGAUAUCACACAAUGAGUUUGAUUUCCAAAUGUUCCCAAACUGAUAUCAGUUCCUUCUUCAAAUGAUCUCAGACAGUUCUCAGUCCCGUAUAGGAAAAACAGAGUCUCUGUGCAGGAAUAGUUUUACCUUGAGCAGGGAAAAAAAUGAAUCACGAUACUCUCCUGGUCCUGUAGGAUGAAUUCUCUUCUUUCUUUUCCAGGGUUCGAAUCGGUUGGCUCGCCAUCAAAGAAAAUCAGUCUCCACUCAGGAAAAAAAACCUGACCUGUUCAAAAGGCCAGAAAUGCACGAUUGCAUUUAGUUAACAAUAACAUCACGUUAGGCACGUGAAGCAGAAUGACACCACGUGAGAACAAAUGAACUCGGUGCUGUGAAUUUGUACCAUAACAUCAAAAAAUACAACAUAAAUCAUACCUAUGACCAUAACAACGAAAUAAACUUGUUUUUCUUGCAAAAUAAGUGUUGUUUUCUUAUUUAGACAUUGAAGUCAGCAAAUAUACAUAAAUUAAACUCACCACGUCCAGAUUCACUUUCCAGCAAUACAACGAUGUAAUCAACCCAUCAAUUGUCACAGGAGCAAAACAACAACCAAAUCCACUCAACACCUUCCUAUAAGAAUAGAAAAACUAUUUUCAAAGUUUUAUUCAAUUAUUUCUGCUUUCUUAACCGUUAAACCUAACAAAUUUUUCUCCAUCUUCUCCCUUCUCAGGUCUCUGCCGCGUCAGCAAGUAGGUGGUCCCCACCAACAGAAUUCCGAUUGGCUAACCAAUAACUUGUUUACAUAUUACAAAUUAUUUUUUUGUCAAACUAUUUAUUUUAUGGAAAGUAUUUGUUAAUA